AGCUAACACAAGCCAUAUAUCCGAAGAAGAAUGAGGUCUGCAUGAAACCGCUCAUGUCUGACCGCAAAAAGUAAUAGUAGAAGGAAUAACCAAAUAAGUACAAGCCAGUCGAUCCACCACAAAGAAAAGACCUGUUUCAAGUGAGCAAUAAGUUAGCCACUAAAGACAUAGCAAAGUGUUGAGAAAAGUGGAAUUAGCAAACUAUGGUUAGCUAGCUAUAGUUAGUUAAUCUAAUUAAUGUAAUUAGUUAGAAAGUUAGUGUAUGUUAAGUGUAUAAAUAUAGAGUAGGAUCUUAUGUACAGAUAAGAGAAUUGAUUUCCUUAAUUCUCAAUGGAACAGCUACUCUCUCUCUCUUCUUAGCCUUCUCUCUAAGCUAACCUUCGAUCUGAGAACUUCCAUAACCAUGGAAACUAACAUGGUAUCAGAGAGUGUAUAUGAUCGGAGCUUAGUUCCCGCUCAUCUGUGUGUAUGUGUGUUACCAAAGUUCAGCUGAAGUGUUUGAAGGUAACAACACCUCUAAGCUAGGGUUUUGCUCAAUUUGACCUCUGAGAAGCUUCAUCAAUGGCGAUAGAAGACGAAACAAACGAGAGUGCUCCCAGACGUGCGAAUGUACUAGCUGCUCCCACUAUUUUCCCUACGAUAAAUCACAAUCACCCUCUAUUUCUUUAACCUAUAGAUACUCUGGGUAGCUCAAUCAUCUCGCUUCAGCUAACCGGUUCAGAUAACUAUGCUUUGUGGAGUCGAUCUAUGAGAAUAGGUCUGUUAGGUAAAAGCAAACUAGGAUUUGUGGACGGUAGGUACCCAAAAUCGAAGUUUGAACCUCAAUUUUAUGAGCAAUAAGAAAAGGUAAAUGUUGUAGUACUCUCUUGGAUUAUGAAUAUUGAGCUUCCAGGUUUGUUAAGCACUGUAGUGUAUGCUUCCAAUGCUCACAAGGUAUGGGAAGAUCUGAAGGAAUGAUUUGACAAAGUAAAUGGAUCUAGGGUUCCAUACUUGCAUAGAGAGAUUCAUACACUAACACAGGGAACAAUGAAUAUAGCUGAUUAUUUCUCGAAAUUAAGAGAUAUAUGGGAUGAGUUUGAUGGAUUCAUGCCUUGUCCUGGUUGUCCGUGUUCAGAGUCAAAGGAAUAUGCUGAGCACUUUGAAUAUCAUAGGUUGCUUCAGUUCCUUAUGGGACUGAAUGACUCUUAUUCUCAAGCUCGAAGCCAAAUAAUGAUGAUGACACCAGUGCCUAGUAUUAACAAGGCAUAUUGUCUUCUUAUGGAUGUUGAAAGUCAAAGAAACCUGGCAAACUUUACGCUAAGGGUGCAAGUAAUAGAAGUUAAUGAUGGAACUGCUAAGUAUGGCAACAAAAUCCAGAUCCUGGCAAUGGACAGUUUAGAGCUCAGAAGAAGACACUGAUUUGUGAUUAUUGUAACUACAAAGGCCACACUAGGGAGAACUGUUACAAACUAAUAGGGUAUCCUUAAGACUUCAAGUCCAACUUUAAGAUGAAGCAGAAGGGGAACAACUCAAGAGCAUAUGCUAAUCAUGUCAAUACCAGUUACAGUCCUACUAUGCAAAAUGCUCAUAUGCAGAUACCAUUUGGAGGUUUACAGGGAGGGACUUCUACUACACCUAGUUUCCAGCCUCAACAAAUACAGAUGAAUGCUAUACCAACUGGAGUCCAGACUCAUCAACAAACAGCUCCUUACUUUACACAGAAGUAAUAUCAGCAGAUAGUACAGCUACUUAAAAAGGGAGCAGAUGAAGGCCCUUCUGCCUGAGCUGCAACUGCAGGUAAACUAAUAGCUCUGUUAUCCAAUCAUGUUAAUCACAAUUCAAUAAUAGACUCUGGAGCUUCAAAUCACAUGACAUCCAUACUAGAAACGCUAAGUUCCUGUCAGCCAAUUUCCUUUCAAAAAGGAAGUAAAGUUCACUUGCCAACAAGAGAUGUUGCCUUUACUACACAACAACAACAACAACAACAAACACCCAGUAUAAUCCCACUUAGUGGGGGUCUGGGGAGGGUAGUGUGUACACAGACCUUACCCCUACCCUAGGGUAGAGAGGCUGUUUCCAAAUAGACCCUCGGCAUCCUUCCCUCCAAGAACUUCCCACCUUGCUCUUGGGGUGACUCGAACUCACAAACUCUUGGUUGGAAGUGGAGGUUGCUUACCAUCAGAGCAACACAUAUAGGAAAAACAAGUGUUCUUAACAAUCAAGAGAUCAACAAUGUAUCGUACGUCCCAGAAUUUAAGUACAAUCUACUGUCAGUAUCUAAACUGACCAAAGAGCAGUGUUUUGUGGCAAUUUUUCCUGACUUCUGUAUCUUCCAGGAUCUCUACAAUGGUCAGGUGAAGGGGAUUGGUGAGGAGGACAAGGGACUGUACCUAUUACAAGGCAAGUCAUUAGUAGGUGGUAUAUUCAGUCAUGAUCCAACUCAAUAAAGGAAUAAAACUGUGCAGCAAGUAUCUGAGGUGAACUCCGUAUAUAAGUCUACUAUGCCUGAAAAUAAGUCUGCUUGUAUGACUAGUGAACACUCUGAAUCUAGUGCACUGUGGCAUAAAAGAUUAGGUCAUGCACCUAUAGGUGUAAUCAAGAAGCAUACAACUGUAAGUAGUUUGAAGGAUCAUCACACACACUGCACUGUAUGUCCUUUAGCCAAGCAGACAAAGUUAUCUUACAAGUUAAGUACUACUACUACUAAUGCUGUGUUUGAACUAAUUCAAUGUGAUGUAUGGGGGCCAUAUAGAAUACCUACAUAUGACAGUAAAAGGUUUUUUGUUACUAUUGUAGAUGACUUUUCCAGAUUUACAUGGGUUUUCUUACUUGUUUCUAAGUCUGAUAUAGUGGUUGUUCUUAAAGAGUUCCUAACAAAGGUGAAGAAUGUAUUUUCCACAAUUAGAACUGAUAAUGGUAGUGAAUUCUUUAAUCAAGAAGUUCACAGUUUAUUGUCAUCCUUGGGCAUUAUUCAUCAAAGCACCUGCACCUAUACACCUCAGCAAAAUGGAGUUGCUGAGAGGAGGCACAUGACUAUCUUAGAAAUGGCCAGAGCUUUGAGGUUUCAAGCUGCUGUGUCUUUGAAAUUCUGGGGAGAUUGUGUAUCUACUGCCGUUUAUUUGUUCAACAGACUUCCUCCAAGGGUCAUUGGAGGCAAGCUACCUUUUGAGAUGCUUUAUUUGCAUGCUCCCAACCUUACUCAUUUCAAAGUAUUUGGUUGUUUGUGCUAUGUAACUUCACCCAAGGAGCUGGACAAAUUUGCUUCCAGAGCAGUACCUGGUGCAUUUCUAGGCUAUUCCUCAAAUCAGAAGGGAUAUAAGGUCUAUGAUCUGCACUCAAAAACCUUCCUUGCAAGCAGAAAUGUGGUGUUUAAAGAAGAUAUCUAUCCAUUCAAGUGCUCACAAACUUCUGGCACACCUAUGUUUCCAGUUCUAGAUCUCUUCCCUACAGUCACUAAAAUACAUCCUGCACUUGAAUCCUAUGAUACACUUAUGAGUCCACAAAUUGACACAUAUCCAACUAACAUACACAUUUCAGAGGAACCUCUCUCCUUAGUUCCUUCUCUCCCGCCUUCUCCUUUGACAGAAUAACCCAAUACCUCUGAAUACUCACAGGCUCCCUCUGUGAGUCUGAGAAGAUCAUCAAGACCUAGCAAACCUCCUUUGUGGUUGCAAGUUAUGUGACUCCUGUCUCCUUUCACACCUGCUUGUAUCCUAUCUCCUUAUGUAUAUACUACAAUGCUCUCAAACCUGCUUACCUUCAUGCCUUAUCCUCCUACUCCUUUAUUACUGAACCACAAUCCUUUAAAGAAGUAGCCUCAAAUCCCAAGUGGAUUGCAGCUAUGAAGCUUGAAAUAGCUGCUCUAGAAGCCAAUCACACAUGGAGUAUUAUGGACCUGCCUGCUGGAAAAGAUCCCAAUGGUCUUCAAAUGGAUUGUUAAGAUAAAGUUCAAGGCUUCAGGAAGUUGAAAGAUACAAGGCAAGGCUGGUGGCCAAGGGCUAUAGCCAGAAAGAAGACCUUGAUUACUCGGAAACUUUUUCUCCUAUAGCCAAGAUGGUUACUGUGAGGACCAUCAUUGCCUUAGCAGCUGCUAAACAGUGGGUUAUCUAUCAAAUGGAUGUGCACAAUGCCUUUCUCAAUGGGGACCUAGUGGAAGAUGUCUAUAUGCAGAUACCUGAUGAGUUUGCUAGGCAGGGAGAGUCUCAGAAGGUCUGCAAACUACAAAAGGCCUUGUAUGGGCUCAAACAGGCCCCAAGGCAAUAGAACAAGAAAUUAACAGACGCAUUGCUACACAUGGGCUUUCAACAGAGCCGCUUUGACUACUCUAUGUUUACCAGACACAAUGGCAGUGAUCUAGUUGUUGUGCUGGUGUAUGUAGAUGAUCUACUGAUCACAUGCAACAAUGUGAUGCUGUUAAAUUAGACAAAAACUGAUUUGCAGAGGAAUUUCAAGAUGAAAGAUUUGGGUGAGCUAAAGUUCUUUCCGGGCAUUGAAGUUGCUAGAUCAAAAGAGGGUAUAGUUAUGUCUCAAAGGAAAUAUGCCUUGGAACUUAUCUCUGAGUCAGGUCUAGAGGGAGCUAAGCCAGCAGGCACACCUCUAGAAGUGAAUCAGAAGCUAACAUCUCAAGAGUAUAACAAGCUAUCAUAGACAUAGAAAGUUCAGAAGAAUCAGAUGCUGCACUCAAGGAUCUUGGUAGCUAUCAAAGGUUUGUACGGAGAUUACUCUACUUAAUUAUGACCAGACCAGACAUAGCAUUUGUGGUUCAAGUCCUGAGUCAGUAUAUGCACAGUCCAAAAGUGUCAUAUGGAAGCAGCGUUGAGGGUAGUGAGGUACAUAAAAGGAAUAGCAUUUGUGGUUCAAGUCCAGAGUCAGUAUAUGCACAGUCCAAAAGUGUCAUAUGGAAGCAGCGUUGAGGGUAGUGAGGUACAUAAAAGGAGCUCCUGGACUAGGACUCUUCAUGCCUGCACAGAAUGCAAAUGAGGCUGCCUCUGACUUGGGUUCUUGCCUACAAACUAGGAGGCCAGUAACAGGUUACAUAGUGAAGUUUGGAGAUGCUUUGAUCUCAUGGAAGUCAAAGAAGUAGGAGAUUGUCUGCAGAAGCUGAGUUUAGGAGCAUAGCAUCAUGUACUGCAGAAAUAAUAAGGUUAAAUGGGUUGUUCAAAGAACUUGGAGUUCAACUAAACUCACCUGUAAAGCUUAUGUGUCAUAGCAAGGCUGCAAUUCAAAUUGCAGCAAAUUCCAUUUUCCAUGAAAGAACUAAACACAUUGAUAUAGACGAAUGUCAUUUUGUUUGAGAAAGUAUAGUGCAAGGGGCAUUGAAAACUCAGCAUAUAUCAACUAAGGAGCAGUUAGCAGACUUACUAACAAAGGGCUUGGGCAGGCUCAACAUGACUACCUUCUGAACCAGCUCGGAGUGAAGAGCCCCUUCAAGCCUUCAGCUUGAGGGGGAGUGUUGAGAGAAGUGGAGUUAGUAAACUAUGGUUAGCUAGCUAUAGUUAGUUAAUCUAAUUAGUGUGAUUAGAUAGAAAGUUAGUGUAUGUUAAGUGUAUAAAUACAUAGUAGGAGCUUAUGUACAGAUAAGAGAAUUCAUUUCUUCAAUUCUCAAUGGAAUAGUUACUCUAUUUCUCUUCUUAGCCUUCUCCUAAGCUAACCUUCGAUCUGAGAACUUCCAUAACCAUGGAAGCUAACACAAAGUAUUUUAAUUUUCAAAUGCAUAACAAUUAGCGGUAACUGCUGACAUUCAAGCAUUUUUCAAAUGAAGAUUAGGGAACUCUCCUGUUGAUGUAAGGCUGGAAAUAAUCACAGAUUAAACUAAAUCCUAUGCUACUGUGGCAAUAAAAUUCUGACAAAUGCUCGCUAUUGGCUUUCUUUCAAGAGACAAGGAGUAUAAUGGGGACCUUAAACAGAAAUUCAAAAUUCAAAUUUUAGUGCCUAAGCAGUAGCAAUGCAAACAAAAUUUUGGAGAGAGAAAGACAAGGAACAUAUUCUAAGCACUCCUAAAGCUCAAGCACUCUUUCAUGUGAAGAAUUCCCCAUAUGAUGUUUCUAUAGCAUUAUCAGGCAGCAACACAUUAGUAUUAGAGCAAUGACAACCAUUCAUUCAAUAGUCAGAUGGAUGAUCCCCAAAGACUCAGAUGCAAGAAAAAAUGACUAUUCAACAGAAAAUUACAGUCAGAUGGAUGAUCCCCAAAGACUCAAAUGCAAGAAAAAAUGACUAUUCAACAGAAAAUUAGAUUCAUGCUGAUGAUCGGUCAAAAAUCCUCACACUAUUUUUAAGUAUCACAUCAGCUGUACUCAGCUUUAAAGAGCCUAUACAAUAACUAGAAAAUUAGCAUGAGGCUCUUAAGGUUUUUAUUCCUUUUUGUAAUUAAAAGUUUAAGUGAGGGGCCCAGGGCUUUGGUCUAGUAGUAAGAGCAGCACGUGAUGCUUGGGUGAGGUGUACAUCAUUGGUUUGAACCCUGCCACAGGCAAACACCACUAUGCAUCGAGUUUCAAACCGUGCACCACUGGCCUUAGGACUAAACUACUUGCUAAACAAACUCCUUGAAUAAGGAGAUUUAUUUGAGAAAAUAAAGGACUAACAAAAUCCUAACUACUAGCUAAAAAAUUGGUCAAAGCAGUAAAGUAGCAGGCACCACCAUUCAUGAUCUUCCGCGGCAAGUUGGAAGUACGUCAUAGCAACUGAGACAAGGGCAGUUGUAAUCAGGAGAAGGAUAAAUACAACAAAAAGAAUGCUAUAUAUUGUGUAUAUCCUGUGACCCCAAACACUUGCAAAUAUGUAAUACAGCUCAAUAUAGAUAACAGCAAAAGGCAAAAUUCCUGCCAAUGCCAUUUGCAUUAUGAUACUCCUGUACCAACGCUGUGGUGGAACCUCACGAGGACACUUUGUGGUGUGACAAGGAGCUUGAAACUCAGACCUUAUUCUCUUCCCAGAUAAUGCACCUAA
rnacentral:lncRNA from 1 species